CUGGGCUGCCACCGGAACGAAGUGACGCCGUCGCCAUUGCCGACGCCCACGAGGAGCCCGCUGUGCUGGCAGUGGGGAUACCGCUGGCCACGCCACUGGGAACCACAGGCCGAACCGCGCACGCCCAUUCCGCCCGCCGGCACCUACUCAGGUCCAAGGAUUGUGUAUGAUAGCGCAUUUCUUCUGCAGCUGAGAAACUCUCCAUUAUCACAGAAACCACCAAAAGACCUCGCAAGUUUUCCAAAUGACAUUGUUAAGGGGACUAAUGCCUCGUCCUCAGAGGAGACCCCCACAGGGUCGCAACUUUCUCCUUCACCUCCUAGUCAGCAGUGACCCUGCUGCAUGGCGAAAUAAAAACCAAACUCUACAUUUAAAGCAUCUAUCAGUUUUGCUCUUAGUGUUAUUGACUUUGGUGUUAAGGAAAAGUUUUAGGGUUGAAAGGGGUGAAAUCUCUCCCAGAAGAGCAAUAUUGGAUUGUGUGUUCGAGGAAAAGUCCAACCACUUGUCUUAUAUUGCUUUACCUUUCUUUUCCUGAUAGCACUCGUACAGAUUGUAAAUAUUUACUCCUGUCAAUAAAAGACUAUUCUUUUGUUGUUUUACUUUUCUGUCAAGGUAACACACUUUUCAA